rnacentral:misc_RNA from 1 species
AGUGUAAUCCAACUGAGAUAGGAAUAUAUAUAUCCAUUGCUUCAAUAUUCCACAACAUGGAAUGAGAUUUGAUUCCUUAUUAAUGAUUCAGGUUAACCCCUUCCAUCUUUCUUUCAAGUAAGGUUAAAAUGGCCAUCAGUCACAAUCAAACUUCAAGACGGAUCAAGGUUUUCCACUCAACUGAUUUAAUCAAGUAUGUAAACCAAGAGAUAAUGUAUGGUAAGUUUUAUUUCGCCAUGAUUAGACAGAUACAGAAGAAGUCA